rnacentral:rRNA from 1 species
UUUAUGGAGAGUUUGAUCCUGGCUCAGAGUGAACGCUGGCGGCGUGCCUAAUACAUGCAAGUCGAACGAUGAAGCUUCUAGCUUGCUAGAGUGCUGAUUAGUGGCGCACGGGUGAGUAACGCAUAGGUCAUGUGCCUCUUAGUUUGGGAUAGCCAUUGGAAACGAUGAUUAAUACCAGAUACUCCCUACGGGGGAAAGAUUUAUCGCUAAGAGAUCAGCCUAUGUCCUAUCAGCUUGUUGGUAAGGUAAUGGCUUACCAAGGCUAUGACGGGUAUCCGGCCUGAGAGGGUGAACGGACACACUGGAACUGAGACACGGUCCAGACUCCUACGGGAGGCAGCAGUAGGGAAUAUUGCUCAAUGGGGGAAACCCUGAAGCAGCAACGCCGCGUGGAGGAUGAAGGUUUUAGGAUUGUAAACUCCUUUUGUUAGAGAAGAUAAUGACGGUAUCUAACGAAUAAGCACCGGCUAACUCCGUGCCAGCAGCCGCGGUAAUACGGAGGGUGCAAGCGUUACUCGGAAUCACUGGGCGUAAAGAGCGCGUAGGCGGGAUAGUCAGUCAGGUGUGAAAUCCUAUGGCUUAACCAUAGAACUGCAUUUGAAACUACUAUUCUAGAGUGUGGGAGAGGUAGGUGGAAUUCUUGGUGUAGGGGUAAAAUCCGUAGAGAUCAAGAGGAAUACUCAUUGCGAAGGCGACCUGCUGGAACAUUACUGACGCUGAUUGCGCGAAAGCGUGGGGAGCAAACAGGAUUAGAUACCCUGGUAGUCCACGCCCUAAACGAUGGAUGCUAGUUGUUGGAGGGCUUAGUCUCUCCAGUAAUGCAGCUAACGCAUUAAGCAUCCCGCCUGGGGAGUACGGUCGCAAGAUUAAAACUCAAAGGAAUAGACGGGGACCCGCACAAGCGGUGGAGCAUGUGGUUUAAUUCGAAGAUACACGAAGAACCUUACCUAGGCUUGACAUUGAGAGAAUCCGCUAGAAAUAGUGGAGUGUCUAGCUUGCUAGACCUUGAAAACAGGUGCUGCACGGCUGUCGUCAGCUCGUGUCGUGAGAUGUUGGGUUAAGUCCCGCAACGAGCGCAACCCCCUUUCUUAGUUGCUAACAGGUCAUGCUGAGAACUCUAAGGAUACUGCCUCCGUAAGGAGGAGGAAGGUGGGGACGACGUCAAGUCAUCAUGGCCCUUACGCCUAGGGCUACACACGUGCUACAAUGGGGUGCACAAAGAGAAGCAAUACUGCGAAGUGGAGCCAAUCUUCAAAACGCCUCUCAGUUCGGAUUGUAGGCUGCAACUCGCCUGCAUGAAGCUGGAAUCGCUAGUAAUCGCAAAUCAGCCAUGUUGCGGUGAAUACGUUCCCGGGUCUUGUACUCACCGCCCGUCACACCAUGGGAGUUGUGUUUGCCUUAAGUCAGGAUGCUAAACUAGCUACUGCCCACGGCACACACAGCGACUGGGGUGAAGUCGUAACAAGGUAACCGUAGGUGAACCUGCGGUUGGAUCACCUCCUUUCUAGA